AACGAACGUUAGCGGCGCGCUUAACACAUGCAAGUCGAGCGAUAAAUCCUUCGGGAUGGAAAGCGGCGCACGGGUGAGUAACACGUAGAUAAUCUACCCUCGAGUGGUGGAUAACGUUCC
rnacentral:rRNA from 1 species